rnacentral:lncRNA from 13 species
AACCCUAUGCUUUCUGUUUUGUGUAUUGUAGAACCAUUUGCUCACUGUGUUUUAUAUGGUUGAACACUAUGCUCUCUGUAUUGUAGAACCCUAUGCUCUCUGUAUUGUAGAACCCUAUGCUCUCUGUAUUGUAGAACCCUAUGCUCUCUAUAUUGUAGAACCCUAUGGUCUCUGUAUUGUAGAACCCUAUGCUCUCUGUAUUGUAGAACCCUAUGCUCUCUGUAUUGUAGAACCCUAUGGUCUCUGUAUUGUAGAACCCUGUGGUCUCUGUAUUGUAGAACCCUGUGGUCUCUGUAUUGUAGUACCCUGUGCUCUCUGUAUUGUAGAACCCUGUGCUCUCUGUAUUGUAGAACCCUGUGCUCUCUGUAUUGUAGAACCAUAUGGUCUCUAUUGUAGGACCCUGUGCUCUCUGUAUUGCAUAUUGUAGAACCCUAUACUAUCUGUAUUGUAGAACCCUAUGCUCUAUGUAUUGCAUAUUGUAGAACCCUAUACUAUCUGUAUUGUAGAACCCUGUGCUCUCUGUAUUGUAUAACGCUAUGCCAUAUUGUAUGUGUUUAUGGUUUUCACUUUCUUUUCACCGUAACAUUACUUGUUAACAUUUCAUAGUUUGUACAAUCCUUUUCAUGUAAUUCCUGCAAUUUGGUGUCUAUUUGGAACCAACAGAAGUAAGUGUUGUUAUUUUCACUUAUAUAUUUAGAAUACAAUUUGUUGGCAAUGCACUGCUAAUAGAGUGUAUUUAGAUAUUAUUAGAAAUCCUAUGUGUGAUUCAUUUAACUAGCCUAGAGGUAAAGAGGUAAAAAAGGCGACACCCAGCCAUUUUGCAGUCUGUCAUCCUGAUAAUCAAUCAAACCAGCAUGUAGUUAGUUUAGGUGGCCCUAAACAAAAUGCAACCCUUUUAAAUGACUGGAGUUAUGAAAGUCCUUGAGGGAAAUUGAAAUGCCAUUCUUCAGAAAAUAAUGGCCAAAGUGAGGAGACAGUUUUGACGAAGACAAUGGCUUUAGUGACAGGAGUUCAUUGGGACCAUAACACAUUCUCUCUAAAGGUAAACACCAGUGACUGUAUAUUCCUCACCAUCAGUUAAACCUCAAUUGGAUCUAAAAAAAUAAACCCAGGACAUUGAACAGAUUUAUAGAUUUUGACACCUCUCCAUUAUGCUUACUCCAUUUUAAGUGAAUCAUAACUUUGCUCUGAAAGAAGGAAUUACCGUGCAUUUUGAGAAAAUGUAUUGUGCACCAACCUAUGAAUUAUGAUGCAAAAAUCUAAAUGAAUGUGUAAUGCCUGGGAAUAAUUUAUUGGAGAUUAAAAUAAAUACUAAAUGAAGGAAAAUGUUCCUCAAUCACUCAGAGACCCAGAGCGUGUUUACAUUUCUGAAUGGUCCACUCCACAGAGACAGACAGAUAGUUAAACCUGUUUACUGAAGCUUGGCACCUAAGAGCUUCAUUUUGAAUGUUCAAUAUUCAAUUAUAUGGUUAUUUAUUGAUCACAGACAUGUGUCAGUCUAUGUAACGAACACAGAUGAAUUCAGAGGAAAAAUAAGUGUCAGGGAAGUGUCUGAUUUUAAGGAUUGCAUGUAAUGUGUGUGAAUAGGGGUGAUAAUACAUUACACAAUUUAACUUUUCUAAAGAAAAGCAACAGACAUAGUGGUCUAAGACACUGCAUCGCAGUGCUUGAGGAGUCACUACAGACCUGGGUUGGAUCCCGGGAGACCCAUGAGGCGGUGCACACAAUUGGCCCAGCGUCGUCCGGGUUAGGGGAGGGCCAGGCCGGAAUGUCCUGUCUUCGGUCGACAGGUGUUUCCUCUGACACAUUGGUGCGGCUGGCUUCCGGGUUAAGCGAGCAGUAUGUCAAGAAGCAGUGCAGGGUCAUGUUUCAUGGUACGCAUGGAUCUCUGAGUUCGUACGGGAGUUGCAGCGACGAGACAAGACUGUAAAUAGAAAUUGGGGAACAUUUUAAGUGGUAUGGCAAACUGUGAACUUGUCUUUUCUGGGGCCUGGAGAUUUUCCUGAUCUCAUGACCUGGUCAGGUAAAUGUCUGGGUCCUAUUUGCAGGUUAAGAGAAAAUAUGAGUAUUGUAGAUCGCUACCCUUUUCUUCUGUUCUAUGACUUUAUGACUGGGGGUUUUCUUGUCAGCAUAAGGGCACAAGACAAGACCCAGAUGCAGACAUGGGAGGCAGAUGGUUUGAGUCUUUGAUAUAUAUUAUAUUCCAAAAGGGGAAGGCAAGAGAAUGGCCGUGGACAGGCAAAAGGUCAAAGCCUGUUCAGAGUCCAGGAGGUACAGAGUGGCAGGCAGCCUCGAGGUCAGGGCAGGCAGAAUGGUCAGGCAGAAUGGUCAGGCAGGCAGGUACAGAGUCCAGAAACAGGCAAGGGUCAACAGACAAGACGAACUGGCACAGAGAGACAGGAAACACAGGCAUAUAUACACCGGGGAAAAUAAGCGACACCUGGAGGGGGUGGAGACAAUCACAAGGACAGGUGAAAACAGAUCAGGGCGUGACAGUCAGGUCAUGUGAAUUGGAAACACUCCUGGCCUAAGGUUGAUGAAAACCUUUCAAACUACCACAAACCUUGUUAUUAUUAAUUCUGAAGCUGAUAUCAAAAGAGCCAGAGACAACAACUUCAAGUGACAACAUACACUGUAGUUUAGUGAACUACUAUAGCUGGCUUGAGCGUUAUGCAAACAAUGGUUACAACGUAUUUAUAUAUUAAUUUCAUUCUAUACACACAAUGUUAAGAAGUGUAUUUUGAAAAAUGGAAAAGAUUGUAUUUUUAUGUCAAAAAACCUAUUAUUUGUUUAUCUUUUCUGUUGCUUAGUAACUUUACCCCUACCUAUAGUAUAUGUAAACAUUCCCUCAAUUACCUCGUACCAAUGCACAUCGAGUUGGUACUGGUAUCCCGUGUAUAUAGCCACAAUAUCGUUACUCAUUGUGCAUAUUAAUACUUUUAUUAUUAGGUAUUUAAAUGUUCUAUUAUUUCUCUAUUUUCUUUCUCUCUGCAUUGUUU